rnacentral:rRNA from 1 species
UACGUAGGGUGCAAGCGUUAAUCGGAAUUACUGGGCGUAAAGCGUGCGCAGGCGGUUUUGUAAGUCUGUCGUGAAAUCCCCGGGCUCAACCUGGGAAUGGCGAUGGAGACUGCAAGGCUAGAGUUUGGCAGGAGGGGGGUAGAAUUCCACGUGUAGCAGUGAAAUGCGUAGAUAUGUGGAGGAACACCGAUGGCGAAGGCAGCCCCCCUGGGUCAAAACUGACGCUCAUGCACGAAAGCGUGGGGAGCAAACAGG